UGGGGGAUUUUGCACAAUGGGCGCAAGCCUGAUGCAGCGACGCCGCGUGAGGGAUGAAGGCCUUCGGGUUGUAAACCUCUUUCGCUGGGUUGAAAGGCCAUGCUUUGGGUGUGGUUGAUUUGAACUGGUAAAGAAGUACCGGCUAACUACGUGCCAGCAGCCGCGGUAAUACGUAGGGUACUAGCGUUGUCCGGAUUUAUUGGGCGUAAAGGGCUAGUAGGUGGUUUGUCGCGUCUGUCGUGAAAUCCUGUGGCUUAACCAUGGGCUUGCGGUGGGUACGGGCAGGCUUGAGUGCGGUAGGGGAGACUGGAAUUCCUGGUGUAGCGGUGGAAUGCGCAGAUAUCAGGAGGAACACCGGUGGCGAAGGCGGGUCUCUGGGCCGUUACUGACACUGAGGAGCGAAAGCGUGGGGAGCGAACAGG
rnacentral:rRNA from 1 species